UGAGUGAAUGACAUCAAGGAAACAGGAUCAAAAGAUCAUUCAUUAUAGACCAUUUCAUAGUUGGUUAUAUUUUUCAGGUCAUUCUGUUCUCCUGGUGGUGAGGAUGUGCAGAGGCUGUAUUUGUCAGUGUUAACAGACUUGUGCAGCUGUAUCCACACAUACAAGGAGCCGACAAAGAGUUCUGGAGCAGGACAGACAGGGCAGCACGGUGGCGCAGAGGGUAACACGUUUGCCUCACAGCAAGAAGGUCGCUGCUUC